rnacentral:rRNA from 1 species
AUUGAACGCUGGCGGCAGGCUUAACACAUGCAAGUCGAGCGGGGUGAUGGUGCUUGCACUAUCACUUAGCGGCGGACGGGUGAGUAAUGCUUAGGAAUCUGCCUAUUAGUGGGGGACAACAUCUCGAAAGGGAUGCUAAUACCGCAUACGUCCUACGGGAGAAAGCAGGGGAUCACUUGUGACCUUGCGCUAAUAGAUGAGCCUAAGUCGGAUUAGCUAGUUGGUGGGGUAAAGGCCUACCAAGGCGACGAUCUGUAGCGGGUCUGAGAGGAUGAUCCGACACACUGGGACUGAGACACGGCCCAGACUCCUACGGUAGGCAGCAGUGGGGAAUAUUGGACAAUGGGGGGAACCCUGAUCCAGCCAUGCCGCGUGUGUGAAGAAGGCCUUAUGGUUGUAAAGCACUUUAAGCGAGGAGGAGGCUCUUUUGGUUAAUACCCAAGAUGAGUGGACGUUACUCGCAGAAUAAGCACCGGCUAACUCUGUGCCAGCCGCCGCGGUAA